rnacentral:rRNA from 1 species
AUUGAACGCUGGCGGCAUGCUUUACACAUGCAAGUCGAACGGGCUUGGGGGCUUGCUCCCAAGUUAGUGGCGAACGGGUGAGUAAUACAUCGGAACGUACCGUGUAGUGGGGGAUAACGUAGCGAAAGUUACGCUAAUACCGCAUACAAUCUACGGAUGAAAGCAGGGGACCUUCGGGCCUUGUGCUAUACGAGCGGCCGAUGUCUGAUUAGCUAGUUGGUGAGGUAAAGGCUCACCAAGGCGACGAUCAGUAGCGGGUCUGAGAGGAUGAUCCGCCACACUGGGACUGAGACACGGCCCAGACUCCUACGGGAGGCAGCAGUGGGGAAUUUUGGACAAUGGGCGAAAGCCUGAUCCAGCCAUGCCGCGUGUCUGAAGAAGGCCU